CAUCCUCCCAGUGUCGCCGCACACCGGCUUCUCACACCUCCGCUUUCCUGAGGCCUCAUGGCAAAGGGGAGGCCCACCUUCGCCCCAGCAAGAACUCACUUUCUGCUUUCCCUUCGCCCUCUUCAUUAGGGUUGUUCCUGCUUUGUAAGGUGCAAGGAAAAUUUGAAGUUACUUUGAAAGUUUGAAACUCUAGAAAUCAUCACAGCCCUUCUUCUGCCCCUCAGGGGGUUUCUGAUAGAUCUAUUUUUUGAUUCUGUAUCAAAAGUUCCUGAAGAAUUUGUCUGGCAAAGACAACCUCUCCUUAGGGGAGAGAGUGAAGGGAAGGAGAUGGAAAGGACAGCAGCAGCCUCUUUUGGGCAGAUGAGAGGACAGGAAAGCAGCAAGGGCCACUUUCAUGGUAAUAAAUUGAACACUGAUUGAUUGAUUGAUUGAUUAGUUUUUAAAACUCUGUAUGUAACCCACGCUGGCCUCAAACUCCUCCUGCCUCAGCCUCUCUAGGGCUAGGAUUGCAGAUGUAUGCCACCAUCUACUGAGUUUUUAAUUACACAUUUAUUUCUUCAUAAAGUAUUCUCCAUACAGAGGAAGUGACAAGACCCCUAUGAUUUCUCAUUCUGGGUUUUUUAUUGUAUUACAUCAAAAAUUAUUUUUUUAAAGAUUUGAUGUUCAUAUGUGUCCAUCAUAAAAUUUCACAAUUUAAAAAUAUUACCUUUCCUCAUUGAUAAUACCCAAUUCAGGCAUUGCUUCAAGGUAUUUACAAUGCCUACGAUACAUGUUAUGAACAUCAGCCAUCCCGUGUGCAGGAGCGUUCUGACAUAAGCACUGUCAUAUCUCCCGUGGCAACACUCUGGAGACCUGAGACUGUUCCUUCUGUGUCACCACACCUGCAGGCACCGUGCGCUGUGAACGCUUGAGUGGAUCCAUGUUCUUCACUGACCUUUGUCUUCAAACCCGUUUGCUUGUUUGUCUGACCACUCCUCUGUGCUUUGGGGAGCUAUCUGUGAUGGAAGUUCAUGUUUCCUCCAGCAUACUGGGAUUUGCUGGCAGCUCUUUGGAACCAGUAAGAGGUCAACAUGUACCGGGCGUCAGAGCUGUGUUCCAAAGGGGAUAGUGGCCACACCCCGUUCCAGACCGGAACUCCUCAAAGCAACAGCUUGUGUGCAGCAAGGAAAGUGGCAUUCUCCUGAUACGAGUCCUGGAAUCACUAGGAAGAACAGUGUGUCGAUUUCUCACACAUGGAUCAAAUCGUUUUUGGUUAAGUGGCUGAGGCUGGCUGCUUCCAUGCCUGUCUCCCAAUUUUCUUCCCUCUGUUUGUGCCUUGUAAACCUGUGUGUCACCAAGCAGCCCUGGUUGCUCAUUUUCAACAGAUCCCACAGGGUCAAAACUACUGGGGUGUGGGGGCCCUUUGGCCUGUGCCUUUGGAGGAGUGGUUUGGGCCCCAGAUUCCAUACAUGGUAAUUCCAUCCACCCCACAGCCAAGGACACAUCAGGAGUGGCAGUUGUUUUUAGUAACAUCUUUCUGACAUGGAAAUGUCAAAGAUGUCACUGACUGACAGUUUAGUUAAGAGUUCACAGAAUAUGUAUUGAACUCAGGCCCUCAGUGCACUGUUUUCUGCUACCAAAGCCC
ensembl:lincRNA